rnacentral:rRNA from 1 species
UACGUAGGGUGCGAGCGUUAAUCGGAAUUACUGGGCGUAAAGCGUGCGUAGACGGUCAUGUAAGUCGGAUGUGAAAGCCCCGGGCUCAACCUGGGAAUUGCAUUCGAGACUGCAUGGCUUGGGUGCGGAAGAGGGAAGCGGAAUUUCCGGUGUAGCGGUGAAAUGCGUAGAUAUCGGAAGGAACACCAGUGGCGAAAGCGGCUUCCUGGUCCGACACCGACGUUCAGGCACGAAAGCGUGGGGAGCAAACAGG